GCGAACGCUGGCGGCAGGCCUAACACAUGCAAGUCGAGCGGCCGUAGCAAUACGGCAGCGGCAGACGGGAUAGUAACACGUGGGAACGUGCCCUUUGGUUCGGAAUAACUCGGCGAAAGCCGUGCUAAUACCGGAUAAGCCCUUACGGGGAAAGAUUUAUCGCCAUUGGAGCGGCCCGCGUCUGAUUAGCUAGUUGGUGAGGUAAUGGCUCACCAAGGCGACGAUCAGUAGCUGGUCUGAGAGGAUGAUCAGCAUCACUGGGACUGAGACACGGCCCAGACGCCUACGGGAGGCAGCAGUGGGGAAUCUUGCGCAAUGGGCGAAAGCCUGACGCAGCCAUGCCGCGUGUAUGAUGAAGGUCUUAGGAUUGUAAAAUACUUUCACCGGUGAAGAUAAUGACGGUAGCCGGAGAAGAAGCCCCGGCUAACUUCGU
rnacentral:rRNA from 1 species